AAUCAACGCUGGCGGCGUGCCUCAGACAUGCAAGUCGAACGAUUAAGACUUCCUUCGGGAAGUGCAUAAAGUGGCGCACGGGUGAGUAACACGUAAGUAAUCUACCCUCGAGUGGGGAAUAACGUUCGGAAACGGACGCUAAUACCGCAUAACGCAGCGGCACCGCAAGGUGACAGUUGUUAAAGGAGUAAUUCGCUUGAGGAGGAGCUUGCGGCAGAUUAGCUUGUUGGUAAGGAACGGCUUACCAAGGCUACGAUCUGUAUCCGGUCUAAGAGGACGGUCGGACACACUGACACUGAAUAACGGGUCAGACUCCUACGGGAGGCAGCAGUCGGGAAUUUUGGGCAAUGGGCGAAAGCCUGACCCAGCAACGCCGCGUGAAGGAUGAAGUAUUUCGGUAUGUAAAC
rnacentral:rRNA from 1 species